UACGAAGGGGGCUAGCGUUGUUCGGAAUGACUGGGCGUAAAGCGCACGUAGGCGGAUUGGUCAGUUGGGGGUGAAAUCCCGGGGCUCAACCUCGGAACUGCCUCCAAUACUGCCAAUCUUGAGUUCGGGAGAGGUGAGUGGAAUUCCUAGUGUAGAGGUGAAAUUCGUAGAUAUUAGGAAGAACACCAGUGGCGAAGGCGGCUCACUGGCCCGAUACUGACGCUGAGGUGCGGAAGCGUGGGGAGCAAACAGG
rnacentral:rRNA from 1 species